rnacentral:rRNA from 1 species
UACGUAGGGGGCAAGCGUUAUCCGGAUUUACUGGGUGUAAAGGGAGCGUAGGUGGUUUCUUAAGUCAGAGGUGAAAGGCUACGGCUCAACCGUAGUAAGCCUUUGAAACUGGGGAACUUGAGUGCAGGAGAGGAGAGUGGAAUUCCUAGUGUAGCGGUGAAAUGCGUAGAUAUUAGGAGGAACACCAGUUGCGAAGGCGGCUCUCUGGACUGUAACUGACACUGAGGCACGAAAGCGUGGGGAGCAAACAGG